rnacentral:rRNA from 1 species
UACGUAGGGAGCAAGCGUUGUCCGGAAUCAUUGGGCGUAAAGCGCGCGUAGGUGGCUUCGUAAGUCCGUUGUGAAAGUCAAAGGCUCAACCUUUGAAAGCCGAUGGAUACUGCGGAGCUAGAGUACGGAAGAGGCGAGUGGAAUUCCUGGUGUAGCGGUGGAAUGCGCAGAUAUCAGGAGGAACACCAAUUGCGAAGGCAGCUCGCUGGGACGUAACUGACGCUGAGACGCGAAAGCGUGGGGAGCAAACAGG